CACCGCCCGUCACGCCAUGGAAGUUGGGAGUGCCCGAAGUCCGUGAGGCAACCGCAAGGAGCCAGCGGCCGAAGGCGAGCCUGAUGACUGGGGCG
rnacentral:rRNA from 1 species